rnacentral:rRNA from 1 species
UACGUAGGGUGCGAGCGUUAAUCGGAAUUACUGGGCGUAAAGCGUGCGCAGGCGGCUUUGUAAGACAGGUGUGAAAUCCCCGGGCUUAACCUGGGAACUGCGCUUGUGACUGCAAGGCUCGAGUGUGGCAGAGGGGGGUGGAAUUCCACGUGUAGCAGUGAAAUGCGUAGAGAUGUGGAGGAACACCGAUGGCGAAGGCAGCCCCCUGGGUCAACACUGACGCUCAUGCACGAAAGCGUGGGUAGCAAACAGGAUUAGAUACCCUGGUAGUCCACGCCCUAAACGAUGCCAACUAGGUGUUGGGGAAGGAGACUUCCUUAGUACCGUAGCUAACGCGUGAAGUUGGCCGCCUGGGGAGUACGGUCGCAAGAUUAAA